AUAACCUACGUUUGAAAUACGAAGGUAUGGCAGCCCUCAUUUUGUGUGCAGCAGCACUGUUGACAAUAACCCCUUCGACACACUGUAGCGCAGCUCUGGCCACUUCUGAUAAUGCUGAAGCGCGUACUUGUCCAUCCUGCCUUCCCUGCCCUGAAGAUCCAUCAAAUACCAUCAAAAAGUUUUGGAGCGACAAUGAAUAUAUGUGGAUAUUUUAUAUGGAUCCUCACACUACGGCAAGCUGCAUCAAGGAGAGACGUGUAGGCAUUAGCGAAUCCAUAGUCGCACUGCAAAAGUCAACGGUGCGAAAUGGGGCCGAAAGCUCACAAUUUCCAGUGAAAAUGUGGACAUUAUCUCAAGCCGGAGAUGAAAUGUGGCACAUAGACCAAAACAGUAAUAAUAAGCAUACUGAAACUUUACUGUAUAGGCCUCCACAAGGCCGAUGUGCUAUAAUUAAAGAAUCGAAUACUGAGACAGGUUUGAACGCACCAGGACGAGGAGCGCAUUCACCCGAGAGCGCAGUUCCACCUCAUUGCCAGAAGGGCCGGUUUUCGUGACGCACGCUCUGCGGUCAUUCCGCCGAACGAAAUCUGUGAGGUUAUACCACUCAAUGCCGAAGUUGAGAAAACCAGAGUGGUAUUCCUUGCUUGUGGGUGGAGAGAAUCCUACUCAGAGUGUUGGCAAUUGUUUGGACGUAUAUAAAAGUUUUUCUAAAGUACCGGAGCCUCAAGCAAUGUAUUUGGAAAGCUGUGCUAAGAGUUCACAGUAAAAUUGGACAUCCGCAGUUCACUGGUCUCAUUAAUAAUACAAUGUUUGUGCUGCGCAAUAAACAUGAUUAUACUGCGGGAACAA